rnacentral:rRNA from 1 species
UACGAAGGGGGGCUAGCGUUGUUCGGAAUUACUGGGCGUAAAGCGCGCGCAGGCGGUCCUUCAAGUCAGGGGUGAAAGCCCAGGGCUCAACCCUGGAAUGGCCUUUGAGACUAGAGGACUUGGGUACGGGAGAGGUGAGUGGAAUUCCGAGUGUAGAGGUGAAAUUCGUAGAUAUUCGGAAGAACACCAGUGGCGAAGGCGGCUCACUGGCCCGUUACCGACGCUCAGGCGCGACAGCGUGGGGGAGCAAACAGG